AUCCAUCGCAACAACAAACAAGACUCCCAAAGACAUUAAUCCGGAGCUCAGCCCCGAGUGAUGGCGGCAUGUGCAGCUGCUUACCCGGGAGGGGAAGGGGGACGAAAAUAUCUUGGCCGGGGUGGCACGUAGGCGGGCGGCAUGGCUCCCGCGCGGCAGCCAUUGAUGGCCGCACGCGCAGGGCAGGUGGCGGGCAGGCGGCCGCCAUGACCACGGUGGAUGGGUGCCGUCAGCAGAGCCUCGCCUUCGCCACGAAGAAAAGAAAGAGAGCGAGGCAAGGCGGGCGCCGGAGGCAAGCCGAACCUACCGCCUCCGCACGCGAAUUCAAUGCGCCGGUCACGGGUUGGUUGGCGCCAUAAAGUCGCCCCCUUUCCCGUCCCCCUCCCCUCUUCUUUGCUUCCGUCCCUCCACCCCUCUCUCUCUUCCUGCCUCGUCCUCUCCUCGUCGGUUGGCUCCCCUCCUCGGAUCCCUCGCCAGACCCGAUCCAGCUCCGCCGGCUGCUGUUGUUCUCUGUUUCUUCUCUGUGCGUGUGGGUGGGUGAUCUAAGGGGUUGAAGGAGGAGUGGGGAGUGGGGAGUGGGGGAGCGGGCGGGGGAUGGAUCCGUCGGGCGCGUUCGCGCGGAGCUCCAGCAAUGUGUCGCUGGCGUCGCUGGUGAGGAGCGGGAGCGGCGGGAGCAGCGGGAGUAGCGGGAGCAGCCGCGGGAGGGGCGGGAGCCGGAGGAUGGUGCGCCGGGUGCUCCGCGGCGUCAUCACCUUCAUCUUCGCCAUCGCCGGCCUGUUCCUGGGAGCCGUCACGGGCGGGCUGAUCGGCCUGGCCACGGAGAGCGGCCUCUUCCGCGGCACCGGCAUCGGCGCCAUCACCGGCGCGCUCGUGUCCAUCGAGGUCGUCGACUCCUCCAUCCGCCUCUGGCGCUCCCGCCGGUCCGGGAUCUGGAGCAUCCUGUACGUGCUUAAUGUGAUCUACAGCCUCCUGACGGGCCGGCUCGUCCGUGAGAAGGUUGAUCCGGCAGUGCAGCGGGUGGUCCGCAGCCAGAUGAAUGCAGUGGACUCAUCGCAGUUCAGGGAGGCCCCUGACCUCUUCGAGAUCGAGGGAACCAACGGCAUGCCGAGGGCGUCCAUCGAGAAACUGCCCGAGGGCACUAUCACCGAGGAGUAUAACCGGAAUGCCGUCGGUGACCUCUACGGGUGCUCAGUAUGCCUGCAGGAUUUCCAGAUUGGUGAGAAGGUGCGGAGCCUGCCCGAUUGCCUGCACGUGUUCCACGUGCCGUGCAUCGACGGCUGGCUGAUCAAGCACGGAUCAUGCCCACUCUGCAGGAGGAAGCUCUAGAUCAUCAUCACCAUCAUCAUCAUCAUCCACGACCGACGACGACGACCGAUGAGGAACUUCUGAAAUUCUGUCUGCUGCUAUUAGGAAGGAGGUCUUGCUCUGCUUGCUGCUUUGCAUGCUGUGUGUGCGCGCGCUAUGCCUGUGUUGCUGUUGCUGCUGUUAGGAGGCUGACAUAUCUAUAGAACGAACCCUAAAUUUAUAGAGCUCUUCUUUUUUUUGCCUUUGCAUUUUGAUUUUUGAUCUCUCUCUUCUCCUGGUGGAUGUAAUAUAGUAGUACGUACGACCACCGGGGAAAAAAAAGCACUGGACCGGCUUGCGCUUCGUUGUUGUUCUCCGGACUGAUGAACUCCUCAUAUCAUCAUGUAAUGUUAUAUAUAUCACACUGCUAUUGUACAAUAUCUUGCGUGCA
rnacentral:rRNA from 1 species